rnacentral:rRNA from 1 species
AGAGUUUGAUCCUGGCUCAGGAUGAACGCUAGCGGCAGGCUUAAUACAUGCAAGUCGUGGGGCAGCAGGGGCGUAGCAAUACGUUCGCUGGCGACCGGCAAACGGGUGCGGAACACGUACACAACCUUCCUUAAAGUGGGGGAUAGCCCGGGGAAACCCGGAUUAAUACCCCGUAACAUAGUGAAGUGGCAUCGCUUUACUAUUAUAGCAGCAAUGCGCUUAAAGAUGGGUGUGCGACUGAUUAGGCAGUUGGCGGGGUAACGGCCCACCAAACCUACGAUCAGUAACUGGUGUGAGAGCACGACCAGUCACACGGGCACUGAGACACGGGCCCGACUCCUACGGGAGGCAGCAGUAAGGAAUAUUGGUCAAUGGACGCAAGUCUGAACCAGCCAUGCCGCGUGGAGGAUGAAGGUCCUCUGGAUUGUAAACUUCUUUUACCUGGGAAGAAAUCCACAAAUUCUUUUGUGGUUGACGGUACCAGGUGAAUAAGCACCGGCUAGCUCCGUGCCAGCAGCCGCGGUAAUACGGAGGGUGCAAGCGUUAUCCG